GAUGAACGCUGGCGGCGUGCUUAACACAUGCAAGUCGAACGGAAAGGCCCAAGCUUGCUUGGGUACUCGAGUGGCGAACGGGUGAGUAACACGUGGGUGAUCUGCCCUGCACUUCGGGAUAAGCCUGGGAAACUGGGUCUAAUACCGGAUAGGACCACAUUUUGGAUGGUGUGGUGGAAAGUUUUUCGGUGUGGGAUGAGCUCGCGGCCUAUCAGCUUGUUGGUGGGUAAUGGCCUACCAAGGCGUCGACGGGUAGCCGGCCUGAGAGGGUGUACGGCCACAUUGGGACUGAGAUACGGCCCAGACUCCUACGGGAGGCAGCAGUGGGGAAUAUUGCACAAUGGGCGCAAGCCUGAUGCAGCGACGCCGCGUGGGGGAUGACGGCCUUCGGGUUGUAAACUCCUUUCGCUAGGGACGAAGCGCAAGUGACGGUACCUGGAGAAGAAGCACCGGCUAACUACGUG
rnacentral:rRNA from 1 species